UAUGCGACCGGCGCACGGGUGAGUAACACGUAUCCAACCUGCCGAUGACUCGGGGAUAGCCUUUCGAAAGAAAGAUUAAUACCCGAUGGCAUAGUUCUUCCGCAUGGUAGAACUAUUAAAGAAUUUCGGUCAUCGAUGGGGAUGCGUUCCAUUAGGUUGUUGGCGGGGUAACGGCCCACCAAGCCUUCGAUGGAUAGGGGCUCUGAGAGGAAGGUCCCCCACAUUGGAACUGAGACACGGUCCAA
rnacentral:rRNA from 1 species